GUAUAUUUACUGAUAGUAAAACAUAAAUGGGAGUUUCUCAAUAUGCAUACUACCGUGCUACAAGUGCUUUCUCCGAGGUUUUUCUUGUGAGGACGAGAGUGGAGAACACAUAAAACAAGUACAUUUCAGCAGCACUUUCACUCCCCGCCGCGUAUUACCUCGCGCCGCUCCUCCCCCUCGCGUAUUACCUCGCGCCGCUCCUCCCCCUCGCGUAUUACCUCGCGCCGCUCCUCCCCCUCGCGUAUUACCUCGCGCCGCUCCUCCCCCUCGCGUAUUACCUCGCGCCGCUCCUCCCCCUCNNNNNNNNNNAUAUAAAGACAACCCUACAAGUUAUAUAUAUAUAUAUAUAAAGACAACCCUACAGGUUAUAUAUAAAGACAACCCUACAGGUUAUAUAUAAAGACAACCCUACUCUGUAGUCAGGUUAUAUAUAAAGACAACCCUACUCUGUAGUCAGGUUACAUAUAAAGACAACCCUACUCUGUAGUCAGGUUACAUAUAAAGACAACCCUACAGGUUAUAUAUAAAGACAACCCUACAGGUUCCAUAUAAAGACAACCCUACUCUGUAGUCAGGUUACAUAUAAAGACAACCCUACUCUGUAGUGCUUUUUGGGUUGGGUUCUCCCUGGAGUUCAGGACCCCCAGACAGCAUACGAUCACAUAAGUCUUUCCUUCAAUCAUUAUUUAUGACAAGAAACAGUAGCUACUCAGCCUCAUGGCAAAAUGUGUAGAACAGCGUGAAAUAAACUCAUGAAUUCUUGAAAGUUGAGACUAAAAAUGUGUGAAAUUUUAUAAAGGGAAAACAUUUGCUUGGGGAAUUUUCCUUUUACUUUCAAUAUUAUUAAUUUCCAUUUUGGUUCUUAUUCCUGGAAAUUCUCUUUUUUUGGUGCAAAGGAUCUCAAUUGCAAAUGCUCAUAAAAAAAAAAACGGGCAAUAAUGAAUAUUAACUGACAAAAUAUUGUAUGUAGUUUCUUGCAAAAGACCUAAAAUAAUAUUUCUCUUAAAACUGAUUCCUAAAAGAUUUGUCCAGAGACUUAGUCAACUCCGUCAGAUUAAACUAAAAUCAAAAAAAAUGAGUCAGGAAUACGCAGGGACAGCUAUACUAUAAGGACCCUGUUUUGAAUGACCUCAGUACAUGCAGAGCAGCAAGACCACUCAUGGUCUGUAAAGUUCAUAAUGUUCUGUACACUCAGUGUAAUAUAUAUAUUUCAAAUUAAUAUUCAGACAAAUAUUUGUGGGGAAAAAAGUUGACAUUGUCCCAUCUUUCAAGUAUCUCCGAGCUCUAAAACGGCAAAAUGUUUCUCUCAGCCUCAUGUCAAAAUGUGUAAAAUAGCCAUGAGACUAUAGCAUAUAAAACAACAGUUCUUUCUGCACCAUGGCAACAACCCCCCCCUCCCCCACCCCCCCGGGGGACUGCACUACGCCACUGUGUUGUAUUGAAGGGAGGUAAAUACUGCUGACCUGAGUCUUCAGUGAGUGUCUUGUCUGUCUUCAGCUGGGUCAAGACGCUGUCCUGGUCUCCAGAAGACCUCACAUUGACUCUACAGAAGAGAGGAGGACACAAACAGUUGGUUUUUGACACACACACACACACACGUAUUCACUAGACACAAAAACACAGCUAAUUUCAUCUCUCUCAGACAACCGUACCUGAGGUUUUUGGUGUCAACGAGGAAGAGGAAGAAGGGCUCAACACCGCUGUGUUUGCUGAGCGGACACACCGACGUCUCCUCCGCCUGGAGAACAAACAUUACAACAUUACUACACAACCUUGUACAACCUUACCACAACCUUUCAGAAACAUUACAUUAGGCCUAUAUGAACCCUCCCCUGAAAGAACAUCUCAAGAACAGCAGACCCUUUUCCUUUCUUCCUGAGCCAAUCUAAAUUCGCCUAGACCUAUCGUCAAGUUGCUAGGUAACAUGACCGAACAACAUUGUUUGUUAUCAAAACAAUAACAAGCGACCCGGGGGAAAGUUUAAAACGCCCCGUGACACGGUUUGUGAAAUUAUAUCAAAUGUGAGCAAAAAAAUAAAUAAAUCACACAGGAAGAAAUACAGUAGCUCCAGUAAUAGAAGUCAUUUAGUCAUUUUCUGAACCGUUUCAUCCAGAGAAACCGUUUUCUUUGCUGUAAAGCUGUUUUCUCUCUGGUAUUGCUGCUCGACAGCAAACGUGCAAAGCCUAUCAGACUGGCGUGGCCUGUGUGCUCUUGGUUAUACCAGGGAUUAAAUGAUAACCAACUUUGCUCACUCUGCUCCAAUGUAUCAAAUGUAUCAAGUGUAAGAGCAGAAGAAUGAUCAGGGUCUGCAUCCCUCACUCGCCAUCACGGCUACAAACUGAUGGAGGAAUAGAUGAGCAGGAAGAGCUGACGGAGAGGAGCAGGUGAGUGAGGUCAGGUACGGGAUGAGACCGGCGGAUUGCAGCACACGUGAUAUGAAAGUGAAGUGGACAUUGUUGGACCGGCGCAUAUAAGAGACUAGUUGCUGUUGCUUUUAAACAUUUCACCCAUUUUAUAAAACACAACUUUCUAAUCAUUUUACAGCGGCUUCUUUAGAUCGUAAGGCAGAAAAAAAUGUGGUUAAUGUCAAAUGAAACGGUACUAAAACAAUUUAUUAUCUAGUAUAUUUACUGAUAGUAAAACAUAAAUGGGAGUUUCUCAAUAUGCAUACUACCGUGCUACAAGUGCUUUCUCCGAGGUUUUUCUUGUGAGGACGAGAGUGGAGAACACAUAAAACAAGUACAUUUCAGCAGCACUUUCACUCCCCGCCGCGUAUUACCUCGCGCCGCUCCUCCCCCUCGCGUAUUACCUCGCGCCGCUCCUCCCCCUCGCGUAUUACCUCGCGCCGCUCCUCCCCCUCGCGUAUUACCUCGCGCCGCUCCUCCCCCUCGCGUAUUACCUCGCGCCGCUCCUCCCCCUCGCGUAUUACCUCGCGCCGCUCCUCCCCCU
rnacentral:lncRNA from 13 species